AAGAGCGUGCAUCCUAGUUAGGCGUCCACACUUAUCGGUUUGUUUGAUGUUACAGCCAAGGGUCUGUAGCUCAGGUGGUUAGAGCACCGUCUUGAUAAGGCGGGGGUCGUAGGUUCAAGUCCUACCAGACCCACCAAGUUACGGGCGGGGGAGAGCGAUCUUGCCGUGAACUGGGGGAUUAGCUCAGCUGGGAGAGCACCUGCUUUGCAAGCAGGGGGUCGUCGGUUCGAUCCCGUCAUCCUCCACCAACACCUUGUGGUAGGCAAACGCAAGCAUCGAGAGAUCGGUGUUUGCGUUUGGCAUUGCCAAGACGAGUAGUAACUCGGCUGUUCUUUAACAAUAUGGAAUGUAGUAAAGGUGUCGCGGCGCGUUGAUGAGGCGCGCAAUUUAAACGCGACAUUGGGUUGUGAUUGUAUCAACCAGUAUUACGAGUGAUCGAAAGACCGCUUGGAAUACGGCACAACGCGAGAACUCAGCCUAUAUCGAGACAUACUCGUUAUAGGGUC
rnacentral:tRNA from 1 species